rnacentral:rRNA from 1 species
UACGUAGGGUGCGAGCGUUGUCCGGAAUUAUUGGGCGUAAAGAGCUCGUAGGCGGCUUGUCGCGUCGGAUGUUGAAAGCCCGGGGCUUAACUCCGGGUUUGCAUUCGAUACGGGCAGGCUAGAGUGUGGUAGGGGAGAUCGGAAUUCCUGGUGUAGCGGUGAAAUGCGCAGAUAUCAGGAGGAACACCGGUGGCGAAGGCGGAUCUCUGGGCCAUUACUGACGCUGAGGAGCGAAAGCGUGGGGAGCGAACAGG